UACCCUCACACUCUCCGAUCCUUUGGAUUCUGGGGAGCGGUGGACUUGGGUGUUUGCUGCUUUCCUUGCAGCUCACCUCAAAUGCGUCAGUGCACCUCCCGGUUGGACAUAGUACGGCGUGAUAAGUGUCUUCGCCGGCACCUUGCAAAAGGGUGGCCAAUUGAGAGCUCUGUGCUUUCAAACUGUCAUUUGACAAUCUCUGACA
rnacentral:misc_RNA from 1 species